rnacentral:lncRNA from 1 species
AUAGCUCAAGAUGGCUUGGAGAAAUAAGAAAAAAAUCUCAGAGCCAGAACGUCUAACCACAUCUCUUCUUCUUUUUUUUUCUUUUUAUGGCCACAUCUGUUCCUGGGCCAGGGGAUGAAUAAGACCUGCAGCUGCUGAUCUAUACUACAGCACAGCAACACUGGAUCCAAGCUGCAUCUGUAACCUACAACACAGCUUGCAGCAAUGCCAGAUUCUUAACCCAAUGAGUGAGGCCAGGACUUGAACGCACAUCCUCAUGGAGACUAUGUCGGGUUCUUUACCUGCUGAGCCAUAACAGGAACUCCAUAACCACGUGUCUUCUUUCAGAGAUGAGGAAACUGAGGCCUACAGAGGCAAUGGAUAUGUCCAAGCCAAUUCAUGGCCAACUAAAAACACAUAGAACUGCGACCCAGGUAUUACAGGCUUAAUUGUGUCCUCCCAAAAGAGGGGGAAUGUUGAAAUCCUAACACUCAGUACUUCAAAAUGUGACUUUAUUAAGAAAAAGCAUUGCGGAUGAAAUUAGUUAAGAGGGCACUGAUGGAGCAGGAUAAGCCUUUCAUCCAAUACAACCAGUGUUCAUAUAAGAGGGCCGAGUGAAGACAGGGACACAAGGAGAAGGUCCUGGGUACAUAGAAGAUUGGCGCAGGGCAUCUACAAGCCAAGGAACACCAGAGGUUACUGGCAAACCACCAGGAGCAGGAAGGGGAAAGAAAGGAUCUACCAGAAAGGCUUCAGAGGAAACACGCCCGGCCACCAUCUUGCCUGUGGACAUCACAUUUCUGUGUUUCCGACCUCCCCAUUUGUGGUAUUUUGUGAUGUCAGCCCUCGGAAACUGGCAGACUAGGGUCCCUGCCUAAGAAUCUUUCCAUUAUAUAGUCGGUUACUCUAACACAAUAUGUGACCCUGCUCUGCAAACUGUAAAAUUUCAAAAAAUUAUGUUAUUAUUUAUUUUGUUCUCCAAUUUGCAUCAAAGGUAUAAAUUUUGUCUUCUGCAACUGGUUUCAAGCUUCUUCAGAGUAAGGAGCCCAUGCUAUCCAGAAGAGUCCUUUAAUAAAGUAGAAGAAAAUACAGUAUCUACUCAGAUACUGCAGACUGAAGGAAUAUACAAAUAAAGCUCCAUUUAAAAAUGUCAAAAUCACCAAAGACCUUCUGGAAAUUGAGGAAGUGACUGUUAACAAGAUCGAGUCUCCUUAUGGCUUUUUAUUUAGGUUAAACAUAUGGCUCUAUACUUUAGUAGGUUAAAUUUUAAUGUCAUAUAGAAAUAUAUUCCAGUAUAAGAAACAUAUUGAGAUACAUUAGCUGAAAAUAUUUGAACUGCUCUUCUACCACACUAUGUAAAUGUAAAAUUUUAAGUUUUUAUUCCAUUAAGAUAGAACUCCAGUGAGGGUUCAAAAUCAUCCGUAUAUCCUCCAUGUAUCAUCUUCUCCAUCAAAGUAAAUUUUUGUGAAGGUAACCAACACAGUUUGGAUUCCUUAAGAAGCUGGUCCUGUGGUAAGGUUUCCAGUGCAGAGUUGACUUGGAAGUUCCACGCUGGUAGGGGAGCAGGGGAGAGAGCUAGGAAAGGGAAUGUAGCUAAUAAAGGGUACUGUAUCCAGCAAAAACACACCAUCAUCAUGAGCUUAAGGAACCCGGGUAGCAGCCUCACGUCUCUCUUUCCUCAGGGUCGAGGGACCCAGAGUGUGCAUCAACCACCUCACUAGCUGAAGGAGUGAUGGGUGUCCAUUCUCUGAAACUUCCUUGCCUUGAAUGUGGGUAGGAUUAUCUCCAAAGGGUCAGGAGGGGACCUCAGACGGAGAUGUACAUGUUGGCAAAUAAAGAUGGUCUAGAAGGUACUACAGUGCUAAGGGUGAAGGAAGGCUAUGGUGAAGAACUGAAAAUGGCAGGCAGAAUGGAACAGAAAUGGACAGAAUCUUUAAGAGUAGGAAACCUCUGGUUCAAAUCCUACUGCCUUCCAUGAAUAGUAGUUAACUUCAGGUUUAAGUGACUAAACUUGCCUAAAGCUUCUUUUUGUCCUCUCCAAAUAAAAUAGUGACAAUAAUAAAAUCUGCCUCUGGGGACUAACAAGCAUUAAAACGCCUGUGUAAGUCACGUUUCACUAUGCUGCCUGGCACAAUCAAUGCCUGCUGAAUAUCAGCUAUCAUUAGAACCACUGAAAUCUUAUUGCUGCAUUUAAUAUUAUGAAAUUCUGUAAUACAUGAUAUCCAUAUUAGGAGAUGUCAACAUGGGAAGGUCCUCAUGAGAGCCCCUUUAUUCUGAAUCCUGACUCAAAAUUAUUAAAUGCAUCACAUAAACAUUUUCACAUCCGUACAGGAAGAAUUCAUUUUAUUUUUAAUAGCUUAAAUAUUCUGCCCUAAAAGAUGAAUGAGCAAAAUCUACCUGUGAUCAAACUAACUUAAAUAAAUACAAGAAAGCGAGCUAUUAAGCAAAAUAUCAGUAGAGAUUUAAACUUAUUCUUGCACCCAAGAGAAAGAAUAACUUCUGAGGGGAAAACUCCAUGAAACUUGACUAUCUAUGUCAUAGCAAACACCAAAAGGUAACAAAAAAUGAAAUGAAAUAAUAAAUGGGGCUGUGCUAAAAUUGAGGAACCCUGAUUUAGAGGAUAUGGUAUAAUGCCUUUAACCACUGGACUUUCCAAACAAUAAAAUCUCCUCCCAAUGUGCCAGUGCUUUUUCACCACAACGUACAAUGUAUUUUUAAAUGUUAAAAGUCUUCACAUGACAAGAAGCACACAUCAAGAUGUGUUCGAGCGCUACUAUAAAUUUGUGGUCUUUCAACCUGCCAGAUGAGGGUAAUUUCAACACGUUAUCAACAAAGCCAGGUAAUUAAAAUGUUGAUCUAGACAUGACCGUGGUUAAUUCACCCUGACUUGUAACAGCUGAAGUGAUGACAGAGAGGAACUCAGGGAUUCUAAGGUCAGAGGCACAUGGGGCUGUUUUUCAUUUUCAGAUUAUUUUAAGAGGAAUUCUGGCUUAUUACAGCAGCAUAUAUUGCCUUUUUGUUUUUCAUUAGUAAACCCUCUGGGAACUUUGACACAAGUACAAGCUAAACCUGAUUACUUGGUUUAUAGAACACAGAGAACAUUAUCCAAGAGCUAAUGACAAUGUCUAUUCACUUAGAACUCUGAGAAACCUGCGACUUUUAAUCAAGUUUUAAAGGCACAAGGACAAACCAAAAAUUGAGAAUGAAUGUUUUUACCCCUAUCUAUUGGAAGGUAAAGAAGCAUGUCGAGAAUUGUUCAAAUAACAUCAGAGCUGAGAUGAGAAAGUGUAAAGCAGAGAAGCAAACACAUUUUCAGCAAGGCGAUUUUUUUCUAACCGACAAAUUCUACAAAGCUCAACAAGAAACUGUGCUCCAAAUCCAUUUUUUCUACUAGAAUUGCUUUGUUACACUAAGUUGUAGCAAGACUAAAGAGCUCAAAACCCAGUUUAUUCUCUAAACAAGCUCAAAAAGAUGAUAUCUAAAGCAUCAAACCACUGAGUUUUCAAUUUAUUAGAUAUCUAUUAAUGCAUACUAAUAAUAAACUCUUAAGUAAGAGUGCUCAUCUUAUUUUCAUCUCCUUUAUGUUUCUAUCCAUUACACUAUAACUGGAAACCUUUCAGUCUUAAUUCUUAGAUAUUUCACAUAACCAAAUCGAGGAUGAAGUCAACUGACACAAGUCAGAGAAGAAAGAAUUAUUAGGAGCAUCUGUCACUUCAUACAAAAUGUAAAUAAGAAUGAGAAGACAAUUGUCAUUCUGAAAUUAAGAUUCAGACCAUACAAGCUGGCACUUUAUUACCUGUACAACUCUGCCUAGAGCAUUUAAAACACAGUUAUGUGAUGUAGUGUCUAUGAUGUAAGACAUCAGGAGAUCAAGGCUUAAAAACAACAACAAAAAGAAGUAUGCAGAAAGUUUAUCAACCCACCACAUUAAAGGGAUGAAUUAUAAUUUUUCUAAAUUCCUUUCGCCUUCACUUUUCUUCUUCCUUAAAGUCAAUAUUCAUUCAUUUGACCUGGAAAGCUUUUAAUGAACUGCAUUUUAACUAUCCUACUCUAGGAAAAAUUCCUAUACCAAUCUAUUCCAUUAUCCUGCCAUUUUGACAUGAGUAUGUAAUUGGGAAAGGAAAAAAUUCUUCUUUAUGAUAAUCUUAUAUGGAGUUCACACCAUGACACAGUGGAUUAAGGGUCUGGCAUUGUCUUUGCACAUCUCAGGUCACUGCUAAGACAUAGGUUCAAUCCCCAGCCCAGCAUAGUGGGCUAAGGAUCUGGCAUUGCCUUAGCUGUGGUGUAGGUCACAGCUGAGGUUCAGAUUCAAUUUCUGGCCCAGGAAUUUCCACAUGCCAUGGGUGCAGCCAAAAAAAAUUUUUUUUACCUUUUUUUUUCCCACUGUACAGCAGUGGACCCAAUUACAUAUACAUGUAUACAUUCUUUUUUCUCACAUUAUCAUGUUCCAUCAUAAGUGACUAGACAUAGUUCUCAGUGCUACAGGAGUUCCCAUUGUGGCUUAGUGGUAAUGAACCCAACUAGCAUCCAUGAGGAUGUGCAUUUGAUCCCUGGCCUCGCUCAAUGGGUUAAGGAUCUGGCAUUACCAUGAGUCGUGGUGUAGGUUGGCAGCUACAGCUCCAGUUCAACCCCUAGCCUGGGAGCUUCCAUAUGCCAUGGGUGUGGCCCUAAAAAAGACCAAAAACAAAUAAAUAAAAAUAAAUUUUAAAAGGUAGUAUUACUUAUAAAAGAGAGGUAAUGAUAACUGUUCUAAUAACAACUUUAAGAAGUCCCCAUCAAAAAUGCAUAUGCCAAAAAACACGAAGCAUGAGUUCAUGAGUUUGUAAGUAGUUGAAAAGACUCUAUGUCUGUUGAACAAAGACAUUAAAUUACUACUAAUAAGGCAGUACUACCACACUU